rnacentral:lncRNA from 1 species
UGUUGCCUCGGUUACACUAAACUGUAAAGAUGAAAUUAGUGUCUUAACAAUCAAAAGGGUAAAAACUGCAGUGUUUAACACUCAAUUCAGUAGUUUUGUGGUAAGUAACACCAUCUAGUACUGUCCUCGUCAUAUCAAGGGUUCAACUGUCCCCGGGUUUAGAUAUGUUCCUGGUCGCUAGGAGACGGUAACAGAGGUCUCUUAUCAAUGGGACUAAAAACAACAUUCUAACUGGUCAGGGGGAACAGCUGACAGAUAUACUGCACAUAAUAAUAAUAAUAAUAAUAACAAACAAAAAACACCACACCAUUUUGUUUAGGGGGAAGGAGGGCAACUAACAUUACUAUUGGGGCAUGCUGGGAGGUUCUGGGGGGUGGUUCUAACAUUACUAUUGGGGCAUGUAGGGAGGUUCUGGGGGGUAGUUCUAAUAUUACUAUUGGGGCAUGUAGGGAGGUUCUGGGGGGGUAGUUCUAAUAUGACUAUGGGGCAUGUAGGGUGGUAGUUCUAAUAUGCUAUGGGGCAAUGAGGGUGUAGUCUAAUUGACUAGGGGCAUGUAGGGUGUAGUUCGAAUAUGACUAUGGGGCAAUGUAGGUGGUAGUUCUAAUAUGAUAAUGGGGCAUGUAGGGUGGUAGGUCUAAUAUGACUAUGGGGCAUGUAGGGUGGUAGUUCGAAUAUGACUAUGGGGCAUGUAGGGUGGGAGUUCUAAUAGCGAUGGGGGCAUGUAGGGUGGUAGUGCUAAUAUGACUAUGG